UGUCGCUUUCGUGUCAUAUGGGCAAUGCUU
rnacentral:piRNA from 1 species